rnacentral:rRNA from 1 species
GACGAACGCUGGCGGCGUGCUUAACACAUGCAAGUCGAACGGUGAAGCGCCUUCCUUUUUGGUGGGUGUGGAUGAGUGGCGAACGGGUGAGUAACACGUGAGUAACCUGCCCCCUUCUUCUGGAUAACCGCAUGAAAGUGUGGCUAAGACGGGAUAUUCUGGGUCUGUCGCAUGAUGGGUCUGGGAAAGAUAUUGUUUCGGUGGGGGAUGGGCUCGCGGCCUAUCAGCUUGUUGGUGGGGUGAUGGCCUACCAAGGCGGUGACGGGUAGCCGGCCUGAGAGGGUGGACGGUCACACUGGGACUGAGACACGGCCCAGACUCCUACGGGAGGCAGCAGUGGGGAAUAUUGCACAAUGGGCGCAAGCCUGAUGCAGCGACGCCGCGUGAGGGAUGGAGGCCUUCGGGUUGUGAACCUCUUUCGCCAGUGAAGCAGGCCUGCCUCGUUUGUGGGUGGGUUGACGGUAGCUGGAUAAGAAGCGCCGGCUAACUACGUG